UUUCAAUGAUGCUUCUGUCAUGCUAAUACCGAGGAGAAUUUUUACAAAUUCUUUUAUGAGUUAAAUCAAAUCUUCUCAAUUACUAUAUCUGAGGAAA
rnacentral:snoRNA from 1 species